UCGCUUAGCAUGCGAGAGGUAGCGGGAUC
rnacentral:piRNA from 1 species